rnacentral:rRNA from 1 species
UACAGAGGGUGCAAGCGUUAAUCGGAAUUACUGGGCGUAAAGCGUGCGUAGACGGUUAUGUAAGUCGGGUGUGAAAGCCCCGGGCUCAACCUGGGAAUUGCAUUCGAGACUGUGUAGCUAGGAUACGGAAGAGGGAAGCGGAAUUUCAGGUGUAGCGGUGAAAUGCGUAGAUAUCUGAAGGAACACCAGUGGCGAAAGCGGCUUCCUGGUCCAGUACCGACGUCAGGCACGAAAGCGUGGGGAGCAAACAGG